rnacentral:SRP_RNA from 1 species
UGCGCGACUCAACGGUAGGCGGGCUUGACGAAGCGGGGUUUGCCGACCUCGAGCUGUGGUUGGACAGCGACCCUCAGGAGCUUGAGCUCGAACAG